rnacentral:tRNA from 1 species
ACCUGAGUGGCUCAGUGGUUGAGCAUCUGCCUUUGGCUCAGGUCAUGGUUCUGGGGUCCUGGGAUCAAGUCCCACCUCAGGCU